AAACUAACAAGGAUUCCCCUAGUAGCGGCGAGCGAAGCGGGAAGAGCUCAAAUUUAUAAUCUGGCACCUUCGGUGUCCGAGUUGUAAUCUCUAGAAGUGUUUUCCGCGUUGGACCGCACACAAGUCUGUUGGAAUACAGCGGCAUAGUGGUGAGACCCCCGUAUAUGGUGCGGACGCCCAACGCUUUGUGAUACACUUUCGAAGAGUCGAGUUGUUUGGGAAUGCAGCUCAAAUUGGGUGGUAAAUUCCAUCUAAAGCUAAAUAUUGGCGAGAGACCGAUAGCGAACAAGUACCGUGAGGGAAAGAUGAAAAGCACUUUGGAAAGAGAGUUAACAGUACGUGAAAUUGUUGGAAGGGAAACGCUUGAAGUCAGACUUGCUUGCCGAGCAAUCGGUUUGCAGGCCAGCAUCAGUUUUCCGGGGUGGAUAAUGGUAGAGAGAAGGUAGCAGUUUCGGCUGUGUUAUAGCUCUUUGCUGGAUACACCUUGGGGGACUGAGGAACGCAGUGUGCCUUACGGCGGAUUUCUCGAGAUCUCACA
rnacentral:rRNA from 1 species